rnacentral:rRNA from 1 species
GGUGAACGCUAGCGGUGCGCCUAACACAUGCAAGUCGAGCGGGAAAUUUUUUUAGCUUGCUGAAAAAAUGGAUAGCGGCGAACGGGUGAGUAACACGUUGGUACCUGCCCUUAAGUCAGGGAUAGCCAGAAGAAAUUCUGAUUAAUACCGGAUGUGCUCUUUGGAGUAAAGAUUUAUCGCUUAAGGAGGGGCCUGCGUUCUAUCAGCUUGUUGGUAGUGUAAUAGACUACCAAGGCUAUGACGGAUAACUGGUCUGAGAGGAUGACCAGUCACAAUGAAACUGAGACACGGUUCAUACUCCUACGGGAGGCAGCAGUGAGGAAUCUUCCACAAUGGACGAAAGUCUGAUGGAGCGACACCGCGUGAAGGAUGAAGGUCUAACGAUUGUAAACUUCUUUUCUGAGGGGGCAUAAUGAGAGUACCUCAGGAAUAAGGGACGGCUAAUUACG